rnacentral:misc_RNA from 1 species
GAUGAAGAACGCAGCGAAAUGCGAUAAGUAAUGUGAAUUGCAGAAUUCAGUGAAUCAUCGAAUCUUUGAACGCACAUUGCGCCCGCCAGUAUUCUGGCGGGCAUGCCUGUUCGAGCGUCAUUACAACCCUCAGGCCCCCGGGCCUGGCGUUGGGGAUCGGCGGAGCCCCCCGUGGGCACACGCCGUCCCCCAAAUACAGUGGCGGUCCCGCCGCAGCUUCCAUCGCGUAGUAGCUAACACCUCGCGACUGGAGAGCGGCGCGGCCACGCCGUAAAACACCCAACUCUUCUGAAGUUGACCUCGAGUCAGGUAGGAAUACCCGCUGAACUUAAGCAUAUCAAUAAGCGGAGGA